rnacentral:rRNA from 1 species
UCUAAUCUAAGCUUAAUUUGUUUUAGCUAUGGAUAAAAGAUUUUAAUUUACUAUAUUUUUUAAUAUUAGGUGAAAUUUUAUUAUUAAUUAGUGUAAUUUUUAUUUUCCAAUAAAUUAAUUUUUAAACUAGGAUUAGAUACCCUAUUAUUAAAACUUAAAUUUUUAGCUAUAUUAUUAUUAGCUAAGUUCUUAAAAGUAAAAAACUUUGGCGGUAUUUUAUUCUAUUCAGAGGAACCUGUUUCGUGAUUGAUAAUCCACGAUUAAAUUAACUUAUUUUUUGUUUAUAUAUCGUUGUUUAAAGUAUCUUAAAAGAGUAUAUUUGAAAAUUAUUUUAUAAUAGUAAUCAGAUCAAGGUGUAGCUAUAAAUAAGUGAAAAUGGGUUACAGUUUAUUUAUAAGUGGAUUAGGAGUUUUUAGCUUUUAUAAAAUUGGAUUUGAUAGUAAAUAGAAUUUAAUUAUUUCUUUUGAUGUAGCUCUAAAAU